CGGCAGGCUUAACACAUGCAAGUCGAGGGGCAGCGCGAGGUAGCAAUACUUUGGCGGCGACCGGCGCAAGGGUGCGUAACGCGUGAGCAAUCUGCCCGUAUCAGGGGGAUAAGCGAUGGAAACGUCGUCUAAUACCGCAUAACACGUUGGGAGGCAUCUCCCGAUGUUGAAAGCUUCGGUGGAUACGGAUGAGCUCGCGAGACAUUAGUUAGUUGGCGGGGUAACGGCCCACCAAGCCGACGAUCAGUAGCCGGACUGAGAGGUUGAACGGCCACAUUGGGACUGAGAUACGGCCCAGACUCCUACGGGAGGCAGCAGUGGGGAAUAUUGGGCAAUGGGCGCAAGCCUGACCCAGCAACGCCGCGUGAAGGAAGAAGGCUUUCGGGUUGUAAACUUCUUUUAAGGGGGAAGAGAAGAAGACGGUACCCCUAGGAUAAGCCACGGCUAACUACAUGCCAGCAGCCGCGGUAAUACGUAGGUGGCAAGCGUUGUCCGGAUUUACUGGGUGUAAAGGGCGUGUAGCCGGGGGAGCAAGUCAGAUGUGAAAUCUAUGGGCUUAACCCAUAAACUGCAUUUGAAACUGUUCUUCUUGAGUGCUGGAGGGGCAAUCGGAAUUCCUUGUGUAGCGGUGAAAUGCGUAGAUAUAAGGAGGAACACCAGUGGCGAAGGCGGAUUGCUGGACAGUAACUGACGGUGAGGCGCGAAAGUGUGGGGAGCAAACAGGAUUAGAUACCCUGGUAGUCCACACUGUAAACGAUGAAUACUAGGUGUGCGGGGACUGACCCCCUGCGUGCCGCAGUAAACACAAUAAGUAUUCCACCUGGGGAGUACGAUCGCAAGGUUGAAACUCAAAGGAAUUGACGGGGGCCCGCACAAGCGGUGGAUUAUGUGGUUUAAUUCGAAGCAACGCGAAGAACCUUACCAGGGUUUGACAUCCUGCUAACGAAGUAGAGAUACAUUAGGUGCCCUUCGGGGAAAGCAGAGACAGGUGGUGCAUGGUUGUCGUCAGCUCGUGUCGUGAGAUGUUGGGUUAAGUCCCGCAACGAGCGCAACCCCUAUUGUUAGUUGCUACGCAAGAGCACUCUAGCGAGACUGCCGUUGACAAAACGGAGGAAGGUGGGGACGACGUCAAAUCAUCAUGCCCCUUAUAUCCUGGGCUACACACGUAAUACAAUGGCGGUCAACAGAGGGAAGCAAAGCCGCGAGGUGGAGCGAAAACCUAAAAGCCGUCUCAGUUCGGAUCGCAGGCUGCAACUCGCCUGCGUGAAGUCGGAAUCGC
rnacentral:rRNA from 1 species